UGGACUUGUUGGGCCAAAGGGUCUGUUUCCAUAUUGUAGGGAAUCUAUUUUUUUUUAAAUCAGAAAAUGCUACAGGUAUUGAUCUGUUUUCCUUCUCUUUGGGGUGUGGUGUUGCGAGUGACUGAGGGUUUAUUGCUGCCGGGUGCUGAUCGCUAUGUUUUCUUUGAAUGGUUAAUUCAUAAAUAAGGCACUCUUGCAGUGGUAGAGUACCUAGCCCUGGAUCAAGAGGCCCAGGUUCAAGUCCCACCUGCUGCAGAGAAACCAGCAUCAGUAAAAAGGCAACCUCGAAUAAAUCAUCAUUCCCAGAGAACCUAAAAUGUGCAAACUUUGCCACUGCUAAAGAACAAGACAACAAUGAAAUAUUUAGACUUGGGUUUUCAUUCUUGCAACACAAAAGAAUUUAAGAUCUAUAACUGCAUUUACCUUACCUUCCAGCCUUUCUCCCUUUGUAAAUUGAUUAUUUAUAUUUGUGUGUGUUUGGUGUUGCAUUUUAUUUCUUCAGAGGAGUAGGUAUUAAACUCAAUUUUCUUUCAUUCAAGAAAA